AAGGAGGACACAGCAGAAGCCGAGAUUUGUUAUGAGCAGGUACAAAACCAAUAAAUCCUUAGAGCCUUGAACACAUAGAGUAUAAUAGGGAGAUUCUCUCUUAUACUUUCUUUCAG
rnacentral:rRNA from 1 species